ensembl:lincRNA Gm19590 predicted gene, 19590
GACGAGGGAGCACAGAAUCACCUCAGUAGCAGAACAGUGGAGCGGCUGAGAAGCUGGGUUUCUGAAAUCACCCAUUCACGAUGUCCAUAAUCCUGCCCACUCUUUUAAGGGGGACAUCAAAUAAAAGCUGGAAGCCAAGAGGUCUCUGGGAAAGCCCUCCUGUUGAGAACCGCAGGAAAAACCAACCGCGGAGGAGGAUGUCAUCUUGGGAUUGGCCCUUCGGAGGGAAGAGCACUGCUUUAAACAAACAGCCAAACAGGAUUCGAGUGAUGCUUUGAGAUGGCUCAGUUCCCUGCAUUGUGUCUAGAGCCUCGAAUGCAGCAGACGCUUAGCUCCAACGUGGCUGUAGUGGCUUCAUCCUCACAACUUCGGUCUUUGAACUGGAAGACUUUGGAUAACCGUCUCGUGGGCUUAUUCGCUGGCAGUUACAAAUCAGUCUGGUGGAUUCGUGUUCAGCUCACCCUGGGACACCCUUCCGCUAUUCCACAGACAUCAGGGACUGGGAGAGCAGGACACCAAGCUGAAAGGAAUUGAAAGCCCUGAGGAGCCAAGGAAAUCCAGGGAGGUCAGACGCCAAGUCUUACAUUUCCUCUGGGCAGAAGCUACUGAUGGCAGGAUUUUAGAUUGGAGGAGACUGGGCUGGCAUACCAUACAUGGAUUGAACUCAGCUUUGUCAAGCUUGGUGGCAGUCACCUUUACCUGCUGAGCCAGCUCAUCAGCCCAUGAUCUAUCUACCUUUGUAAAAAUAUGAAAAGGAGAAAACUGGAGCUGAAGAUGUGACUUAUAGGUUAAAAGCACUUGCCACUCUUUCAGAGGACCCAGGUUCAGUUCCUAUCGCUCACAUGGUGACUCACGACCAUCUGUAACCCCAGCUUCAGAGGAUCUGAUACCCUCAUCUGGCCUCCACGAACACCAGGCACUCACGUGGUGCACAUACAUGUAUGCAAGCAAAGCAUUCAUAUGUAUAAAAUAAAAAUUAAUAAAUCCUUUCUUGAAAAUCCUUCAUUUUGCUGAUGGGAUAUACUUGCAUUUUAAUAGUAUUUUUUUGUAAAAUUAAAAAAUAUUAGAUUGUAAUACAAAAGAUGGAAUCAACUCCUCUUGGUUGUUCUUUAUAUGAGUGCCUUGGUACUCAAGGACCUACCGAUUGCUAUUAAAUAAAUGUUUACAAAUGCUUUUAAAAUAAAAAUAAAUAAAU